CGUAAAACGUCCGUGGCGCGAAACACAUACGUACGGUAUUAUUACCAUAAUGACGUACAGCUAUGAUGUAUGCGUAUUUUUUCUGUGUGUUUUAUAUUCAACAAAUAUCCGCAAGUUAUUCGCUCGGCUGCAGUGUUUCCCUACCUUUGGUCCCGCGAAACAUUGCGCGGCGGCCCGCGCGACGCACCUUCAAGACCGAGCAAAUUAUUUCGCAUAGAGCGGUUUAUACAGUGUUUGGCGGGGUU